GAUGAACGCUGGCGGCGUGCCUAAUACAUGCAAGUCGAGCGAACAGACGAGGAGCUUGCUCCUCUGACGUUAUCGGCGGACGGGUGAGUAACACGUGGAUAACCUACCUAUAAGACUGGGAUAACUUCGGGAAACCGGAGCUAAUACCGGAUAAUAUAUUGAACCGCAUGGUUCAAUAGUGAAAGACGGUUUUGCUGUCACUUAUAGAUGGAUCCGCGCCGCAUUAGCUAGUUGGUAAGGUAACGGCUUACCAAGGCAACGAUGCGUAGCCGACCUGAGAGGGAGAUCGGCCACACUGGAACUGAGAAACGGUCCAGACUCCUACGGGAGGCAGCAGUAGGGAAUCUUCCGCAAUGGGCGAAAGCCUGACGGAGCAACGCCGCGUGAGUGAUGAAGGUCUUCGGAUCGUAAAACUCUGUUAUUAGGGAAGAACAAAUGUGUAAGUAACUAUGCACGUCUUGACGGUACCUAAUCAGAAAGCCACGGCUAACUACGUG
rnacentral:rRNA from 1 species